CGUCACUCCUCUUUCCUCAAAAAACGUCAAAUCUCUAGCACCCUAGAGUGCCACAAGCAAAUUGCACUAGUAAACUCUCUGAAUAAAAUACAACCCUCAGAGGAACUGGCGAAUAAACUGUCCAAACUAUAUGUGUUGGAAAAAACUUGGAAAAAAACAAACACAUGUUACAUAAAUUACGAGCUACCACAUACCACAAUAGUGGUAAGGCAUCAAAAUAUCUGGCCUCUAGGCUGCAC